rnacentral:misc_RNA from 1 species
CAGAGUUGCCAUUCGGCUCUCCAACCCACUGUGAACAUACCUAUCGUUCCCUCGGCGGGCCCAGCGCGCGUUGCCUCCGGGCUCCGGGCGUCCGCCGGGGACAACCAAACCCUGAUUUUAUUGUGAAUCUCUGAGGGGCGAGAGCCCGAAAACAAAAUAAAUCA